rnacentral:rRNA from 1 species
GCCUCAAGUUAUGUGUGACAACCCCCUGAAUUUAAGCAUAUUAAUAAGGGGAGGAAGAGAAACCAACCGGGAUUCCCUGAGUAGCUGCGAGCGAAACGGGAGAAGCUCAGCACGUAGGGAUGGCGGCCCGCCCGUCUAUCCGAUUCCGUGUACUGGUACGUCUCACUAUCCGUCUUCCUAGUGGUAUUCAAGUCCAACUUGAACGUGGCUUUGAACCCAUAGAGGGUGAUAGGCCCGUAGAACACCACCCAGCGGUUGAUGGACCGAGCGUACCAUGGAGUCGUGUUGCUUGAUAGUGCAGCACAAAGUGGGAGGUAAACUCCUUCUAAAGCUAAAUACGACCAUGAGACCGAUAGUAAACAAGUACCGUGUGGGAAAGUUGAAAAGCACUCUGAAUAGAGAGUCAAAUAGUACGUGAAACUGCCGAGGGUGUAAAGCCUGUUGAACUCGAUUAUCCGUAGUUCCUGGCAUCGUGGGUUUUGGCUGUCACGCAGAAGGGGGCCUUCUGUAUGCCUUGACCCUAGCCAGGAACGAGUGCGGACAUCGUGAUCCAUUACGCAAACCAAAUGCGAGCGGCGACUCCGGUUGCUGCGAGCAUAUCCAACAUCGGGUCCCAGAACAUGCGGUCGACCCUCUAGUAGUGGCGCUCAGCUUAAGGCCGGCGUCGCGAACGGGGGAUCGAGGCUCCGGUCUCGAGUUCGGCUAGUUCCGGUGUGCCGUUGGAUGCGUGAUGGGCAUUGAAGUGAACUAGAGAAGUGUGAAGCGCAUGUUUGGGCAUGUUCAAGGGCGAAAGCCUGAGCCGAGCACGACUCCGGAUCUACGAUGUACUAACUAAUCGAGGUACCUACGGGACCCGUCUUGAAACACGGACCAAGAAGUCUAUCUUGCGCGCAAGUCAAUGGGAGUAGCAAACCCAAAGGCGAAGAUAACACAACUGCAAAGUCGUUGCGGGAUUACGGGUGCACCACAGUCCGCGAGGACUGGCUAGCUGUGCCGCCCCUCCAUCCCCGGGUGUUUAGCAACGGAUCUGUAGUGCCGCGGACCCCCCGACAGGGGUGGGCAUUUGCAGAGCCAACGCGACAUACCGCGAGCGCGCAGGAUGUGACCCGAAAGAU